rnacentral:lncRNA from 1 species
GAAUGACUUUGUGCAUUGUGCAUAUGAAUAUUAUUGGCAGAGCUAUUUGUUUCACCUUUAGUAAGAAAGGGAGCAAAAUAUGAAGGAAAUAUCAUGGCAUUUAUAGGUUAACAGAAUUAGGAUUUUGCUUUUUAGGUUGCUUUUUUUUUUUUUUUUUUUUUUUUGAUUCUUUCUGUUGCUUGAGUCAGUGGCAUUUGGGGCUCAACAUAUGCUGGUUUAGCCUUGCAAGAGGCUAUGGAGUGCCUGUGUUGAUCUUGGGAGGGGUACAGAGAGCUUGGCAGGGUUGCUGCAGUGGGAAUUAUAUCAUAUUUUGUAUUCAGGCAACCUACAGUGGCACUCCCAACAUUACUGUUCAUAGGCACACGCUCUGCUCUCCUGAUGCUCCGAGGGCAAUGCAGGGCUGGAGGGGGGCAUUUUGCACAACUUCCUUAUGCCUUGGAAAAACUCUACAGGAAUACCUACAUCAGUGAAGCCACACAAAGGCAAACUGACGCAGUGGGGCUGUAAGUGUGCAGCAGAGGACGACCACAGUUCAAGGAGAGGCUGGGUUCUCAGAGCCGUGAUAUCUUCAGGUCUAAAGGAUCAAGAUUGAGCAGGAUUUGAUGGACUUCAGCCUCUGAUGAGGUGCUUAUGAGACUACAGAAUAGGGCCUAAAUUAGUAAUCAGGCACAAUGAGGAAUAAAGUCCUCGGAGAGAGAAGAAGAGGAAAUUUAACACUAGAAAAGGAUAAAGAACAGAAGAGAAAAUGAGAAAAGGUGAUGCAAUCUAAGAUCAAACAAAAUCUACGUGUUUCUCUUACUGCUGGUACUUCUCUUAUUUCACAGGCUUUGCUGAUCUCAUGUACUCCUCCACCAUAAAAAGCUGCUCGCAGUUACAGUGAUGUUUCUAGAAGAGGAAACUUCAGGGUUGAGUUUCUCCUUUAGACGGUGCAAGUGCUCCCUGUAUUCUAUUCUUCAACCAUACAAAUGCUUAUAAAAUAGAAAUGUGAAUUGCCUCGGUGCUUUUAAAUACCUUAAAAAUAAUAAUUCAGGGACUCCUGUAUGAGAUGGAGCUGUCCCUCACUGCUUUAACCUGUGGAGUAGGUUAGCAUAACAUGGAAUCAAUUAUUGUACUAGACAUAUAAAACUGUCAGGUUUAAUACUUAACUGUAGUAUUUGCCUUGAAUGCUUGAUUUCCAGUCAUGUGUGAAGCUCCAGAAAGACAGAGAUAUCAGACAGAUUUUGGUGGAAGAAAUGACUUUGAGUACCCCGAGUUACAAAGGGAAAUCUGGAUGAGUGAUACACCCUGGGAAAGGAGUCCUUUUUCAAUCAAACACUUCCCAGUCCCUUAAAGUAAAGUAACGCAGAACACAAACUGCAGAACAAAUAUUAAGUUUCUAUUCUGCAUUGCCAUAGUUGAGACACCAUCUCAUUUCUUUCUCAGCUUCUCUGGAACCAGCUCUGCUUUAGCUGGAACAUUCUACCAAUUCUUUUCCUUUUUUUUUUUCUUAUUUCUGUACACAGAAGGAGAGAAUCAAACACAAAAGAUCUGCCUUGACUUUCACGGCUCUUCUAAUGCUUACAACUAAGCUUUAUUAUAUUAUUUAUUAUACACAAUGGAAAUAAUUAUUAUUACAGUCUUUCCUCUGUCAUGUGCUUUAUUACAUGACCUUGUUAUGGCCAAGGUUGCAAUCUGACAGUGUGCACUGCAUCGGUAGCGGUGACUGCUGGCAGGGAGUCCUUGGUUUGGGACUCUAAAACUGAUGGAUUAAACAGCAUUAAGGACAGUGAAGUGCUAAUACUGCGGUAAUGGACACUGUAAUAUUUCAAAAUAGCUCACAAGUAGAACCAAAACAAUCCAUUGGGCCACUCAAAUCAUGCAGGGUCUGGUUGGAAGCUCCUGGCCAUCUGACACCUUUGGUGUAUUGCUGUAAGUCCAGAAGCACUUGCUACCUGUAGUCCAUAAUAAGUUGGUAACAAAGAGUGAUAACAGUAUGAAGUGGAAGAGAUAUUCAUCUUGGCGUAUUUCAAUCUAGAAGUGACAAUCCUGGAUUGAUUCAUUCUCUGAGGAAUAAACCUCCUCUUACAAAAAAAAAAAAAGAAAAGAAAAAACAAGUUUAAAGAAACCAGGAUUUAUCCUCAAGAUCACCACUCAUUUUCUUUUAGAAAUUACAUUCUAGACAAUAAGAGAUCACAGACCUGUAAAUUGCAUUUUAACUUUCAGGUAACAUACUAGGGCUAUAACAAAAUCUGAGGACUAUUAUCAUAGCAAAAUAACUGUAAUGCUUCAAGGCUGUAAUAACCAUCUCCUUUUUAUCAUCCAUACUACCAUCAGGCCAAGAAACAGUGAAUUUCUUUAAUGUUAUUCUGCCAUAACCUUUAACUGUAUGCAUUAUUUCAAACACCUGGAAUAAUACUUUAUAUGGCACAACAGAAUAAUACAUUUGCCACUCACUGCACAGCAUAGUUGGCUAAACCCAAAUGAGUACAAAUGCUUAAAUCUGCUGUGCGUAUCGUAGAUAUACAUCCAUUCCUUCUACUGUGCUGUGGACUGACCUUUACGUGACAAGGAAGUUGAAGGAACAUUAGAAAGCAUAAGGUUUGUACUUAAAGUCAAUGAAGGCUCUUUCAGUUAUAUCAUCAUUAUAAAACUGUACUGCUUACCUGGUUUUGGGAGGGCUGUACUUGGCUAGCUCACACACACUUUAUGUGGAAUCUACAGCAUAAAUACUCUGUGGGUUCAUUAUAAAAAUAUGUUUGUGAUAUACCUUUCUGGUGUCCUUUGUGUUCUUUCAUGAAGUGUUUAUUCCUGUUAUAUCAAGCAUAAUGCAUAAUACCAACACCAUACAUAGAGCAUCUUGAUAAAUAAUCAUGCAUAUGCUCCAGUGGUUUUCUACAUAAAUGCUCCUAUAUAUAAGUUACUACAGCCCAGGGCUCUGAAUGGAUCAAAUUUGUAAACACAUCACUAUAUUUCUUACCUCUAUUGAAGUGUAUUAUGAUAGCAGUGCUGGCAUUUAUCUAGACUGUUGAUAUAAAGGUUUCUACCCACACGAGCAAUGCAUAUUGCAUUAUGCAAUUCUGUAAUAAACUGCUUGAAAUAUUACCAGAGACAGAGCAUGCUGGAAAACAUUGAGUGAGCCCUGAGGUGGAAUGGUUCCUACUGAGUACAGAGCACUUUGGAUCAGGCCUUGGAGGAUACUACCUAUAAAAUAACACGUUUGAAGAACUUAAUUGUGAUUUCCUCAAUGUCACCCUGUCACUCUGAAAACCGGAUGCUUUAGUUCAAUGAAAGGUCUCAG